GACGAACGCUGGCGGCGUGCUUAACACAUGAAAGUCGAACGGAAAGGCCCUGCUUUUGUGGGGUGCUCGAAUGGCGAACGUGUGAUUAACACGUGAGUAACCUGCCCUUGACUUUGGUAUAACUUCAGGAAACUGUGGCUAAUACCGGAUAGGAGCUCCUGCUGCAUGGUGGGGGUUGGAACGUUUCGGCGGUUGGGGAUGGACUCGCGGCUUAUCAGCUUGUUGGUGGGGUAGUGGCUUACCAAAGCUUUGACGGGUAGCCGGCCUGAGAGGGUGACCGGCCGGAGGGGUCCCAAGGUAUGGACGGAACUACAAAGGGAGGCAGAAGUGGGGAAUAGUGGAAAAGGGGCGGAAGAGGGAAGUAGCAAGCUGGCGUGGGGGAGGAGUGGCUGAGGUUGGUAAACCGCCUACGCCUGUGACGAAGCGAGAGUGACGGUAAUGGGUAAAGAAGCACCGGCUAAGGACGUG
rnacentral:rRNA from 1 species